rnacentral:lncRNA from 1 species
GCGAACCCAAAAACCUUUCUUCUUCACUCAGUUUCUUCUCUCACACCCAAAACUUCUUUAUCACUCAAUCAAUUUUUUUUUCAAGCCUUCCAAACCAAGAACCCUCUUCUUCUCACUCAAUCGAUUGAAACCAUAAACCCUUCAUCAUUAUUCACUCACUCCAUCUUUCUCCUCAAUCGAUUGAACAAAAAAACCCUUACUAUUCUCUUCCAUCGUCACUCAAUCUCACGCAUUGAAACCUUAAAUCCCAGAAGCUCAACUCGUUGGAACCAGAAUCCAUAACUCAUUAAAACCCUAAAACCAUCUUCCACAUCGUUCUAGAGUUCGUGUCUCUAUCGUUCACCGUCAAUCAUUGCAAUUGAACUUCGUCUUGUCAUAACUCGUUCUUUAGGUAUUUGGAUUUCUCUUAUUCUUCUUUGAUUUCUAAUUUUAAAUUUGCACUCCUCAUUGGUACAAAAUGGAUUCUUGUGUUGAUAUAUAUAGUCAUACAUCUGUAAUUGCUUGCAACAACUUAAAGUCUCAAACAAAGAAAGUGAUUUGUUUUACCUUGUGUACCUACAUAUUUAUGUUGGCUUGUUUACAUUCUAAUAUAAAAGAUUCAUAACUGGAAUAUUUUUCUUCUCCAAUUAUUAAAGACUGGAUUGUGUUGGGGGUAGUUAUACGAGGGUUCUUGAUGGUUUUAUUAAUGAUUUACUAUGAGAUUUUGUUUUUUUUUCUCCUUUGUACUAGUAGAUUUAGAAUAAUUGGUUAGAUUUUGUAGAUAGUGUUUUGUGUUCUUAAGCCAUUCAUAUUCUCAGGUCCACACAUAAAUUAGACUAUGUGGAGUUACUAGUCCGGUGACUUGACUGAAUUUGUUAAACCGACAGGCGGACGUUCCCAUUGCUGAACCUGAAUCAUCUGAGAUUACAUCUAUAUCAUCGUCGGAGUUGGAUUUGUUGGAAAAAACUAGUCACCAGUGCCAAGGUCUAUGAAUACGACGAGUAACUCAUCAGUGCCAAGGACAAAUCUCAGGUAUAUUUUCAAUCCACUAAUUUUAUGGCUCAUUGUUUUUUAUUUAGGGUUUUAUAUUGCGUUGUUGUUCGAAUUUUCUUUCAGUUAGAGUUCCGGACUGUCGUUUUACUCGCUCACCUCUAGAUUGCGUGUUGUAUUUUUUAUUGGCUGAAGAAAGUUCUGCUUAUUUGAUCUUCUACUCAACACAAGUUAAUAUUUUUCAACUGAUGAACCCUUUUUAGCACAGGUGAUACCUGAAUGGGUUGAAGAAUAACUUGAAUUAUCCUUUCAAUGUUGGUCAACGAGGUCAAAAUGUUGUGGAGCUUGAUGAUUUGUAUCAUGUAGAUCAAGAUAGCGUCUGUGUUUGUUAUCAAGGAGUCAAUUGCUUAUAAACAAACUUGGAGUGAGUGACUCUAUCUUUAUCUAAAGCUUCUUCCAUUUUGUGGCUACUUUGGUGUUCAAUUUGUUGCUUAAAGUUUCUUUCCAUGUAGAAGGCUCUUAAUUUAUUCGAUUAUUGGCUUAUAAAAUUUAUGCUUAUCGGGUAACAAAAAUACUUAAUUCAUGAAUCCAUUUUAUGACACAAUUGUUGUCAAUGAAGUAAAAGGGUAAAGUGUUAAUUCUCGUACAGUAGACAUGACAUAUGAUCUAUAAAACAGGAUUCAGAAGCUUAAAAGAGUGAUUACUAAGGUUAAAGAAGCAAGAUCAGGCAAUUAAGUUGAAAUUGUUUUUAGCCAAAGCCAAGCCAUAGCACUUGCUUUGUAAGUUAUAACAGCAUAACAACAAUACUCUUUCUACUACAAACUCCUUAAUGUACCGAUGUUUUCUGGAUUUUUUGUCCUGCUAUGUUGUGGUUUUGUAUUGUUUGUGGUGGUUCUACAGCUGCUGCCUCAAUUAUUUUUAUCUUUUUCUUCCUGGUUCUUCCCUUUGGUUGGCUCUGUUUUGCCGUUAUUUCCUCCAUUCCUUUCAUUGUUUUGGUUCUGUUAUUUGUACAUGGGGCUUUUGUUUGUUUAUUGUCUGUCCAGGUGCUAGUUUUGAGGCUUGUAGCAGUAAGGUUUUUAGCCUAACAGGUGCUGGUUGGUUUUUGGUAGUAGUAGUGGUUUUGGUUUUUAAGACUUGUGGUUUUCUUUUGUAGUUUUUCUUCGUUUACUGCUAGUGCACUGUUCGUGUAAUCUUUUGUAGUCCUUGGGUUAUGUCUUGUGAUUGGAGCGAGGCCGUUCUAAUAUAUUUUAGUCGUUUCAAACAUAAAAAAAAACUCAUGUCCUUGCAUCGCAAAACUCAUUGUUGCUUUCAGUUUUCAGACAUUAUCUCACUCUCCCCCCUCUAGUUAUAAUUAAGACUCAGCCUUCUCAUACGAUGUUUCCGCUUUUAAAUUUUGUGGCUUGCUUAUUGGAAUGACUUUUAUUUUUGUGCAUAUGAAUCAUGUAGCCUAGAGGAAUACAUUCAGAUUUCCAUUGGGGAAUUUAGGAAAAGUCUCCAGCUUCUUUAUGGAUUUCCUGAUCAAAACCAUAUCAGUGCAUGCUUGAAAAUUAAUUCCAGGUAUAUUUAUAGUUUUAGAAGUUAUGUUUUCUUCUAUGUAAGGUUAAAGAAGUUAUGAUUUCCUGUAUCCCUUCGACAGUGUGUGUGGAGUGUUGGCUUUAUGUCUGCCAUGUUUUUUGGUUAUGUUGCCAAAGCUAGUUUGCUGCUGUCUGUUGGGGGAGGGUCAUAAUUUUUGUGCUUUGUUUUUUGUUUGUGUGCUUUAUUUGCUUUGUGACGUGUCGGCAUUGUUCCUCUUGAGGAUAUGGUGUGGUUUAUGUUUUCACUGUCUGUUAAGGGACUUUUGUUCCUCUUGUAUAUUUACAUCUUGUAAAGUACACCUUGUACUUGUUGUUAUCAUAAUAAACUUGGCCUUUUUAAAAAAAAAGUGUGUUUCUAUAUGAAGAAUUGUAGCCAGGAUCCUUUAUAUAUAGACUCAAUGAAACUUGCCUAUAAUUUUAUGAAUGUUAUAUGCAUAUUUAUUUUUAUGUUUAUGGUUUUUGCACUUUUCAAUUGAUUUUUAGAGCUAUAUAUCAACUCAAUUGUAUUUUUAGAGCUGGAAAUAGGGUAUUGGACCAGCUAGCAAUUUUAUUUCUUAUUAUUUUCUUGUUAACCAUGCCAAGUGCUUCAUGUGCAUCUUUAGGUCAUUCCCGCACACAAAAUGGGGCCUGCUAUCGUUGUCACUGCGAACUGUACAAAAUGGGGCCAGCUCCUGCAAAUUUGCGAGAUAGUAUCUGUAACAAGUAAUUUUUACCUCUGCAGAAUUGUAACCAGCUCCUGCAAAUUUGCAAGGCUAACGUUUUGAUUUAUCUCUUAAAAUUUCUCUAGGAUGAAAUACCUUAAUCUUAAUGUCAGCUUAUUUUACAUUGAAGAUAUCUUUCUUAUUCGAUUGUUGUUAUUUGAUACAAAAGUUUUCUAAAAUACUUGUGAUUAAAAAUGAAAUUAAUUGUUGAAUGUCUUAACUUUUGUGUAUGUAAAAGUAGUCAUUGAAGUUAUCUUUCUU